rnacentral:lncRNA from 1 species
CAACUUCUGCCUCCGGAUGUAAAGGCUUUGGAUAAAUAUGAGCUCUUAUCUAAUUUAGAGAAAUCUUCAAUCUUCCAUUUUAAAGAACCAUUUGCAGGUUUCUUAACCAUAGAAAGUAAUUCCCCUUUUCCAGUUGGUUUGAUAACAAAAAUCUCAGCUCCAAAAACACAGCAGUCAUUGAAAAGAUAUCCAUUAGAAGCAUCAUUGAAUGUUUCAAGGGAAAGCAAUUUAUCGAAACCCCAUUCGGUCUUCUCCUCAUGAAAACUUUUUACUGAUGCAUCCGAUUCUACAAAACAGUGGUUCUCCAUUUAAAUUCAAGAACAUAAAGACAAGAAAGUGAAAACAUUUGCAGCGUUGCACAUAUUAUUAGUCAAAGAAUCCACCUCGGACUGUCAAAUAUUUGUCAUUUAUCUGAUCAAACACAAACAAUUUGAAUUCGGUGGUGACCUUCCACCGAUGAGCAAGUUUGCUUGUAUUUUCUAUUUGCAGGUAAAGGGAAACAAAGCCUUUCCCUUUUCCUUUUGUGUUUCCAUUUGGGUAAAGACACAACCUCCUGGAAACAAAAAAAAUUAAUUGUCAGUUGAUGAAUAGCCUAAUUAUCUUUUAACUGGACAUUUAUUUUUCACUUGUAGAAUCAAGUAUUAGACAAAGGAAGGUGGUGAGAAUCAAACAAACCAUGUGUAGCCUUCGGCCUCAAAAACAUCAGAUUCAUACUUUACGACUUCUGUCUUCAGAAGUAAGGAGAAUGACUCUAUCUUAAGGGUGUAAUGCAUUGGAGGUAGAUCUCUUUUGGAUCUUGUCAGUCCUGAAAAAGAAAAGGAAACAUUUUGGAGGCUGAAAACUCAUCUAUGAUUAACGAGAAACCAGCGGCAUGCAUAUCAGAAUUCUUGUAUGAUAGGAUCAACUUUUGGAGGUCAUGCAAUACAAAAGUGAAAAGCAUCAUAUACAUGACAGAUCACUAACAGCAGACUGAAAGAAAAGAGUUCCAAAAUAUGAAUAAGAAGCAUACCUCCGAAAUUCAUUGAAUCGCACUUCUCUUUCUUGUUCUCCUUUGCAGACUCGUGGUCAAUUAGACAGGGAGUCUGAACCUAAGGAUGAGCAAACUAAAUUGGUGAUAGCAUUAGCUGAUAGAGUUUACUUAUAUAGAAAUUGACAGAUGUAGACAUUAGACUAAUAAAACGAUCAUCUUGAAAAUUUUGACAGUUAAAAAAGACCAUAACUUAGUCGUGAUUAAUUAAUAAACAAGUUCACAUGGCUACAGGGAUUAAUUAACAAGUCAUUUUAAAUUUCUUAUAUUUCACUUUAAUAAAGAAUCACUUUAUACCAUAUAAAAAGACAAGCACCAAGACCAAGACCGACCCAUUUGGAGAACCUAAUAGAUAAGCUUAUUAGACUAUUGGCUAUUGACCUCCAGUCAACUGAAGUAUACUGUUGCAUCGAUUGUAAAUUUCUAACCUCCUUCCCUUUUUUCUCCAGAUCCAAGCAUACGCAGGGCAAUUUCUUCGACGGCCAGUACACAAAAAGACAAAUUUAUUCUACAGUUUUACCAAUGAAAUUUUGCCGUCCACUUAAAAUUAUCACUCCAUCCCAUAGAUAAUUUAAUCAUUGAUGUUGCGGCCUCAAUAUUUAUGAAUCUAAAAAUUAAUAAAAUUAAAACAAUAUUAAUUAGUUGUUCACGCAUUCCCUUUUUUUUUUUUGGUAAGAUAAGCUUAAGUUAGACUAUUGGCUAUUGACCUCCAGUCAACUGAAGUAUACUGUUGCAUUGAUUAUAAAUUUCUAACCUCCUUCCCCUUUUUCUCCCGAUCCGAGUAAACGCAGGGCAAUUUCUUCGAUAGCCAGUACACAAAAAGACAAAUUUUUCCAAACCACUAUAAUAUUUUGCAGUUUUAUGCAUGAAAUUUUCUCGUCCAUAUAAAAUUAUCACUCCAUCCCAUCAAUCAAACUAACAGAGCGGCCUCAAUGUUUAUGAAAAUAAAAAUCUAUAAAAUUAAAAAAAUAUUAAUUAAUUAUUCACAAAUUACAUUUAAAGAAAAAAAAACUCAAAUCAAUACAAACUCCGAAACAAACUUACAUUGAAAGGUCUUCCUUUCAAUGUGCCUCGUACUUGCGUGUGAACUGAUCCCAUUAUGAAGGAACACCGCCUCUUCGUUGUUGAACCGCACUGGAAGAGGUAGCAUCGUGAGUCAUUGCAGGUGUCUCUUCUUGUUCGGCAUCUAAUGACACUUCAUCAUCGCUUCUAGAAGAACUAGCUCUGACCAUGAGCUCAUGACGUGAUGUUGAUUUUGUUCUAUUUAUCUAAGGAUAGGUUCUAUUCAUUAAGUGAGACAAAUGGUAGGUUGAUUAUCUAGUCUCAAAAAAAGUCUCGUAUCUGUCUAAUGACGAUCUUCAUAAAGACAGUGUAGGGGCAUUGCAAGGAACAGUUAAGGCACGUAUGCCCACUAUUACCAAGCAGGCACUCGGAUAUAAGUUGGAUGUUUUACACAUCUGAACCCUGACCAAUAGUUAUAGGGCAGAUCAUUAAUUCUCCACUUAAUUUAGAAGCUUGUGUGUGCAUUCCAAAAAAUUAAAGCAUGUGAUGCAUUGGGCAGUUCUAUACAAUGCAUGAACAUAAAUGUACAGAAAUUAAAGCAUGUAAAAUAAAUAAAUAAAUAAAAUAAGCUUAUUAACAGAAAACACGCAAACCAAACAAAACACAGUUAUCAAACAAAAACAAAGCUUAGUCCACAAGGUCCCCAACGGAGUUGCCAUUCUGUCUCACGUGUGCGGCGUCGCGGCGAAAACAUCCAACCUCAAAAUGUGUUAUCUUCUAUCUAUUUGGAAAAUAUUAGGAGACAAUGAAUUAUUUUCUCUUAUCAAUAAAAAAUAUGGGGAUUGAUUACGUAAAGAGAAGGUAUUAGCACCCCAAAUAAGUCCUACCUAAGGUAGGCUACAUUGUUUUAUUGUCUGAUAAAAUCUAAGGUCUUGUCGUGUUUUCUAGUUGUUGGUUUGUUUAUGAUUUAAGAAAAGUUCUCCUCGGUAAGGAGGUCCUUGUCUUAUCGGGUAAAAACUUAAUCGUUCUAACCUCAACAAAAAAAAUUUAAUAUCCAGAAUAUAUCUUAUAUAUAAGUUCAUAACCCUGGAUAUUAAAAAAAACAAAAUAAAUUUUUUUGAAAAUUUUGAAAUAUUGGUCUUGUUCUCAUGACUUUAAUAAACUGGUUAUUAAAGCCAAAAUACAUGCUAAUACAUAUUUUUUGAAAUUUUAUUUGUUGUAUGAAAAUACAAUAUGAUUUUUUUAUUUUUUUAAGAGACUUGGUCGUAUGUAUAAAAACAUAUUUUUUUCAUUUUUUUUUGUUUUGAAAAAAACUAGGUAUUGUAAUACCAAAUUUGUAUCUUUACAGUCUAAAAAUACAAACUAAUAUUAAUAAAAAAAUACAGUAAAAAAUUGCAGAAAAUCACAGAUUUUUAAAAUAAUUUUUGAAUAUUUUUUUUCCCGAGCUAGGCCCAGCCCGACCCAUGUGGCAGGGCUGGACCCAGCUGGUUUCUACCCACAAGUACCCAGCUACAGUCAUGGUGUAAUUAAUCUUCACGUACACAGUGUUUGAUAUUUCCCAUCCAACGGCUGCGAUGACACACAUCUAAUCAGACUCUUGAAUCUCUGUUUUUAUCGUAGUUAUAAAACUCAAUAUAAAAUUAAUUUAACUCAAAAUCUAAAUAGUGAGUUGGGUUGAUAUAAGAAAAUUGAACCGGUUUUAAAUUAUAUAAAAAAUUUUUGUAACAGCUCAUUUUAACCAUUUAUUUAAAAUUUUGCCAUUCUCAACUACGAUAAUUACCAAAUUAUACUAUUUUAUUAAAACAAUUUCUAACCAUGCUAGUUUGCCAUUUUUCCCCCCAUACUAUGCUCGAAAGGAAAUUUACUGGGAAAACUUGUGGGGAUAAAAAGAUUAAUAAUUUUACUGAAAUUUUAUUUUUUUAUAAAAACAUUUCUUGAAAAUAUCUCAUUCAUUAAAUUAAAUAUUAGAUCAUGUUAAUUAGUGGGUUUCACAAACCCAAUAUUUAUAAUCUUUCAAUCAUAAUUAUAAGAUCUGGAUUGGUUCAGGAUUUGAAUUAUGGGUUGGCCAAAUUAACUAAUGAAUCAGUAUAUCAACUUGGAUUGAUAUGGGAUUUUUUAUGUCAUUUUAUGAAAUAAUAUUAUUUUGAGUUGGAUUUCACUUAGGUCAAGGGUUGAUUUAUUAGACCAUCCAUUUAACCAAGUUAACUUUUUAGAUGAUUUAAGAAUAAACCCAACCCGAUUUAAACUAGGAUAGAGUUUCGUCACUAUGCUUUUAAAAGAAGUGAUUUUGGAAAACGUUUUCGGCAUUAAAAUUUGUAAACGUUAAAAAUAGACUAUCUAAUGACUACAAUUGGCCCUGUUCUCUGGAGUAAAAUCUUCAAACUAAAAUACUUCCAAGACUUAAAAGACCUGGAGAUUUGACUUCGAAAGAAAGGAGAUUAACCAUUUGAAGAGAAGUUUUAUUGUAUUAUAGAAAUAAUUCAUAAAGAAGCAUAAUUUAUUCAACUCGAAGAAGAUAACGGAUAGAAAAUCAAGAUGGGCGACGUCCAUUACAUAAUGUGGUGGUUCCUUGUUAGAACCAACUCAUGAUUUUUCACCAAAUGCUCUAUUAAUUAUACUAGGGAUAACAGAUUGGCAGCUUAUUGAUACAAAUUAUAUAGAUUGAUGACAAUCGUGGCCAUGAAAAAUGGUGCAAUUUUCACGAGAAAAGCUUGGACACGGACAAGGUAAGAAUUUCAGCUUCAACAAUUAAAGUGUCAUUCAUAACAUAGCCCUUGGAGACUUCAUGGAGAUCUCCCAGUGGCAUGAACUUGCGGAAACCACGUGAAUGGUCGGAGGAGGUUAACCAACGUGAAACUGCAAGAAAAUAAUUUGUGAGAAACCUUAGUCAAUAAGAAGUUCAAUAACUAAAACUGGCAAAGAUGGAAAACUUUUCAUGCCUGUAAGCAGCCGUAGAGAACACAACUACUGGAGGCAGCAUGAGUAGUAAUGUUAAUUUUCCAAAAAUAUUGUUCUUGACAUUACUUCUUAAAAAAUCUCAUGCAUUUAAGUAUAUCUAACAAAAAACCUAUAUGCAUCUAUCCGCUCUGCCCUUUCUUGAAUUGGGAUUCUUAAAGUAGGGAGAACAUGUUUAGUAAUAAAGAAGCUGGUCUUAUGGGGUGGUUUACUUGUUUUUUCGACAUGUUUGUCAUGGCGUUGGUCCAAAACUCGUAGCUUGUAUUCUGCCCACACAGUUUUCUUUGGUGGAAGUUUACCACCAUCAACUAGUUCCAGGAAUACAGACAGUGAAUCUCCCUUUGCUUCAGCGAUUCCUUUGGGAUAAACUUGUAUUCUCCUGAAACGAUGGGAAGAGCCAAAAUUAACGACAAAACUCAAUAGUGGUUCUGAAAUAGAAACGUUUGUGAUUACAAGGCAGCAUACCAACUUCUGCCUCCGGCAGUAAAGGCUUUGGAUAAAUAUGAGCUCUUAUCUAAUUUAGAGAAAUCUUCAAUCUUCCAUGUUAAAGAACCAUUUGCAGGUUUCUUAACCAUAGAAAGUAAUUCCCAUUUGCCAGUUGGUUCGAUAACAAAAAUCUCAGCUCCAAAAACACAGCCGUCGUUGAAAAGAUAUCCAUUAGAAGCAUCAUUGAAUGUUUCAAGGGAAAGCAAUUGAUCAAAACCCCAUUCGGUCUUCAUCUCAUUAAAACGUUUUAC